UACGGAGGGAGCUAGCGUUAUUCGGAAUUACUGGGCGUAAAGCGCACGUAGGCGGCUUUGUAAGUUAGAGGUGAAAGCCCGGAGCUCAACUCCAGAAUAGCCUUUAAGACUGCAUCGCUUGAAUCCAGGAGAGGUGAGUGGAAUUCCGAGUGUAGAGGUGAAAUUCGUAGAUAUUCGGAAGAACACCAGUGGCGAAGGCGGCUCACUGGACUGGUAUUGACGCUGAGGUGCGAAAGCGUGGGGAGCAAACAGG
rnacentral:rRNA from 1 species